GAAGACAGAGCAGGAAGCCAAGAGGAGUGAAGGAGCAGAAUAUGGAAUUCACCUGGAGAUAAUGAAGCAGCAGAAGUUGUCAGCCCCUUUUAUGUCUGUCUAAAAAAAGAGGCCUUUUGUUUCAGUGAAACCGAAGAAUGAAAAUUAAAAAGCUAAACAAAGCAGAAAAUUUCUGCAAAAAUAAUUUGACACUUGCUAUUGAUUUAAGGAAUGGAGCAGCAGAGUUUAACAAGUUGCACAAAAGCACCUUUGGUCUGCUUUAAAAAUCUCUCUAAAAGAAACAGUUAUAUCACUCAUAUGCUGUUCACCUGUCUCUUCUCAUCUCUAGAUCUCAAAAGCGGAACUGCUCUAACUUCACAUGCCAAAGUAGAACCUACUUCUCCUGCCUCUGCCUUGCACUCAGCAUCCAGCCUUGCCCAUGGUGCAGUACAGCAGAUAUUGCUGUGGGAGAGCCUGGCUGGUGAGACAGAGUUCCUUCCUGCUCACCUCCUUGAGCAUGGAGCUGUGUCAGCUGGGAUGACUGGAGAAGCCCAUCUCUUUCCCCGUCCUCUGACAGCAGGAAAUUGAAAGUAAGGAAAUCUCAUCAGGAACAACACCCACGUGCAGGUACCAAGCUCCUGCUGCACCUGAAUUCAAUUGAUGCAAAGAAGCUGAAUUUAAAAUAUGCUCCAGAACAAAGCAAGGCCAGCUGGAGGAUUUCCUGCAGGAGAAAGGAAAAGCCUGGGGAGGCAGUGGGCCGGAAUGCUGAGCUGUGACACAUUCCUGCUGGCUACAGUCUCAUUCUGUUCCUCCCCUUACUAAGGCGGGCAAGCCCCGGGGUGUUGGCAGCGCUGCGGUGUGACAGCGGCAGCCCGGGCAGGCGAUCCAUGCGGUGAUCCCGGCCAUCCACGCGGGGAUUGAGUCACUCGCACAAGGUCACGCGAAUCGCUGGCGCCGCCAGGAAUAGCACCCGGAGCCUCCCGGCUCUCUCGAGCCCACCCUCGGCACUCCAGCCCGAAUUCCCCUGGUCUGAGACUUCUUCAAGCAAUGUGUCCUGCAAGGAUUAUGAACCUUUCUGCAGCAAGAUCUGAAACAGCCAGAUUCCAAUUUAAAUCAAAGUCCCUAGGAUUCACUUGUGAUUUCCAGUAAGGCUUCUUUAAGCAUGGCUCUGCUGCACACAAGAAAAUCACACCACAGGCUGGAGUGAGCCAGGAAGUCUUGUCCCCAAGUGGCUUUAUGCUCUUCAAAGAUACCUGAAGGAGCCAGAGAAGGUUUCAGGGAAUUUCAGGUGGCAGGCAGGAGUCGUGAGCCCCAGGUCCCUCCUGUGUGACGCCCCAGGUCUGUCUCGACAGCAGUGCUGGCCGGUGCUGACAGAGUAACUUCAGCUGGGAUCUGUGGUACUGCUGUGUCCCUGGCUGCUGAGAGCAGGGAAGGAGGGCUCCAUCUACUGCUGUGCGGGGAGAAGGCAAAAAUAACCGGGAUGGCAUUCCUCUGCUGCACAGAAAAGCUACUGGGUACAUGAACUCCAGCUGGCAACCUGCCCUGCAAUUUCCAGGGACAGCAAACCUGUGAGACAGAUGCACUCACUGUGUGACUGAGGAUGCUCUCCAGCCCUGCUGAGCCAGCCCUGGGAGCGGGGCUGUGUGUGGGGUCUGCUGUUUUCUAGUUGGAGUGAUUUUUAUAGCCUGUAUUAUAAGGAAACCCACACGUGAGGAAAGGAAGAAGGAAUUAAAUGGAAAACAAACCACAGGCCCAGCCAUUAAUCCUUCUGGGGAAAGCAGGGCCUGGGCUGCAUUCUUCAGCAUCCAACCCACUGUGGGACACACCAGGUGAAAGUCGUCAACAGUCUGAGCUGAGUCUCUGGUCAGCCAUCGUUCUGGGGGAUCUGCUGCUGCUCUCCCACUGGAGCCUGUUCCUUUGUGCUCUUUCCAUGAGGAGCAGCCAAAAUCAUGAAUUAAACAUUGCUGAUAUUAAAGAGGACUCCUGGCAUCUGCCCCAAAUGGAGAAAUCAACGUGUCAUUCAUUACAGAUAUCCACACUUGUACAGGGAACACGUGUUUGCCAGAUGGUGCCAGUUCAGGAUUCCCAGAGGGAGCAGGAGUGGUCCAUCCCUGCUGAAUGCCAGAGCCACCCCAGUCCCGGGGUCCCCCAAGGGUCUUCACUCCUCUCCCUGCAGCCUGGCAGAGAUGCCCCUGGGCCUCUCCCAGCUGAGGCUGUGUUGUGACCCCAGACUGCCAAGGAAAGUACAAAAUUGAUGUAUCUUGGGGGAGGGAGGGAGGGGUGUGGGCUGAGAUCUGGUGUCUCAAGACCAUUCUUUAGACAGUGCUGAUCCAGACUGUCUUAUUCCCAGCAUUUUUCAAAUUGUUAUUUCCUACAGUUUGCAACUACACACAGUAGUCAGAGGUUAUGACACGUAGCUGACUUUAAAGGACACUGUCUGUAACAAGUGCUAUGUACAUAUUCUAUAAAUGUUGUUAUACCCUGUAUUUUAUAGCUUUAGACUGCAAUAAAUGGGGACAAACUA